rnacentral:rRNA from 1 species
UGUAUUUAUUAGAUAAAAAACCAAUGCCCUUCGGGGCUCCUUGGUGAUUCAUAAUAACUUAACGGAUCGCAUGGCCUUGCGCCGGCGACGGUUCAUUCAAAUUUCUGCCCUAUCAACUUUCGAUGGUAAGGUAUUGGCUUACCAUGGUUUCAACGGGUAACGGGGAAUUAGGGUUCGAUUCCGGAGAGGGAGCCUGAGAAACGGCUACCACAUCCAAGGAAGGCAGCAGGCGCGCAAAUUACCCAAUCCCGACACGGGGAGGUAGUGACAAUAAAUACUGAUACAGGGCUCUUUUGGGUCUUGUAAUCGGAAUGAGUACAAUUUAAACCCCUUAACGAGGAACAAUUGGAGGGCAAGUCUGGUGCCAGCAGCCGCGGUAAUUCCAGCUCCAAUAGCGUAUAUUAAAGUUGUUGCAGUUAAAAAGCUCGUAGUUGAACCUUGGGCCUGGCUGGCCGGUCCGCCUCACCGCGUGUACUGGUCCGGCCGGGCCUUUCCUUCUGGAGAGCCCCAUGCCCUUCACUGGGCGUGCGGGGGAACCAGG